AAUGCGAUGGUCAUCGGUUUGACUCCGAUAGCGGGCUUUUU
rnacentral:tRNA from 1 species